GGGAUAUAUGACUUGAACCCACCCAAUAAGACACUGACACUUAGGGUUAUAGGUUAAAUUGACCACAGCUUUAAUAAUAAUAAUAAUAUAACAAUCUAUAUAUGGGGUCAUUACCUGCCACGCCCCAAUCUUGUAUCAUUUUCCCAUAUUUACAUCAAGGUAAUGACCCACCACAUAAUACAUUUCCAAUAUACAACCAUCAUAUAACAUAUCAACACUGAUCCAUUUCACCUGGUAGGGGUAUACCCAGAUACCCCUACACCACCGAAGUCCUGAG